GGACCUCUGCCUAGGAAAACCAGAGACCUUUGUUCAUGUGUUUAUCUGCUGACCUUCUCUCCACUAUUAUCCUAUGACCCUGCCACAUCCCCCUCUCCGAGAAACACCCAAGAAUGAUCAAUAAAUACAAAAAAAAAAAAUUUUUUUUUUUAAAUUCUACUCUGCUGUGGAAUUCCCAAACUAAUAUAGACCUGAAACUAGCUAAUCAAAUCAAUGAUCUCCGAUAAAUUGUAAUGUGGCUAGGAGAUCGAGUAAGUAGUUUAGAAUAUAGAAUACAGUUACAAUGUGACUGGAAUACUUCUGAUUUUUGCAUUACUCCUCAUUUGUAUAAUGAAACAGAGCAUGAGUGGGAAAUAAUUAAGAGACAUUUAAAGGGUCAUACUGGAAAUUUAUCUUUGGAUAUUGCAAAACUGAAGGAACAAGUAUUUCAAGCCUCUCAGGCACAUCUGACGCUAAUGCCAGGAACUGAAGUGUUUGAAGGAGCUGCAGAUGGAUUAGCAGCUAUUAACUGGUUAAAACGGACCAAGACACUCGGAGGCUCUGUGAUUUCAAUGAUGAUUGUGCUUUUAAUUGGUGUUGUCUUUGUGUAGUCUGCAGAUGCGGAUCCUAAAUUCUGCAAGAAGUAGCCCACUGUGAAAAAGCUGCCUUUGCCUUUAUUGCUUUGCAAAAACAGAAAGGCAGACAUGCUGGGAACAAUCCCUAAGCCUGUCACAAACGGGCCUUAAAGAAACUGGCCAGAAACAGGAUUUCUGCAGCAAUGUGACAUGCUCUUGAUGGCUAUCACACACACUGCUAGAAGUUGUUGGUUUACUGGAGCAGGGCAAGGAACACCUGGCCCACCCGGAGUGGAAAACUGCUCAAACCACAAACAACAGCAGGAGUGGCCUGUACUUUAACAAUAUAUUUUUGCUGCAGAUAAUCAGCCAAAGCUUAUUUCUCUUCUCCUCACUAAGAAAGCUUUGUUUCCCGUAAGGAAUGCUUUCAGUUAAUCUAUAAUCUAUAGAAGCAAUGCUUAUCACUGCCUUGCUAUCAAUAAAUAUGUGGGUCAAACUCUGUUCAUGGCUGUCAGCUCUGAAGGCUGUUAGCCCCCUGAUUCUCACUUUGCACUCUAUUUCUGUGUCUUUGUCUUCAAUUCCUCUAGCGCUGCUGGGCUGGGGUCUCCUCGGCUGAGCUGGUCUUGGUAUCUCCUGGUACCUGAUACACAGCCAUUGAAUUGGCAAAUUUGUUUUCUCCAUUCCUGUCCAAAGCCCCACCAGAAGAAAUUUGCCUUCAGUUGGCAAGGCUCACAAUAUACCUUUACUAUUCUACCUAAGGGGUAUGUCAAUUCUACAGCUUUGUGUCAUAAUCUUAUUCAGAGAUACCUUGAUCACUUUUCACUUCCACAAGAUAUCACACUGGUCCAUCACAUUGGUGACAUUAUGCUGAUUGGAGCCAGUGAGCAAGAAGUAGCAAACACACUGGACUUAUUGGUGAGAUAUUUGCAUGCCAGAGGAUGGGAAAUUAAUCUGACUAAAAUUCAGGAACCUUCUACCUCAGUAAAAUUUCUAGGGGUCCAAUGAUGUUGGGACUGUCGAGAUAAUCCUUCCAGGAUGAAGGAUAGGUUGCUGCAUUUGGCCCCUCCUACAAUCAAAAAAGAGGCACCACACCUAGUGGGCCUAUUUGGAUUUUGGAGGCAUCACAUUCCUCAGUUGGGUGUGUUACUCCAGGCCAUUUAUCAAGUGACCCGAAAAGCUGCAAGUUUUGAGUGGGAUCCAGAACAGGAGAAGGUUCUGCAAGAGAUCCAAGCUGCUGUUCAAGCUGUUCUGCCACUUGGGCCAUAUGACCCCACAGAUCCAGUGGUGCUUGAGGUGUCAGUGGCUGAUAGGGAUGCUGUUCGCAGCCUUUGGCAGGCCCCCAUAGGUGAAUCAGAGCAGAGGCCCCUAGGAUUUUGGAACAAGGCCCUGCCAUCUUCUGCAGAUAACUACUCUCCUUUUGAGAGACAGCUCUUGGCCUGCUACUGGGCUUUGGUGGAAAUUGAAUGUUUGACUAUGGGUCAUCAAGUCACCAUGUGACCUGAACUGCCUUUCAUGAACUGGGUGCUUUCUGACCCAUUUAGCCAUAAAUUAGGUCAUGCACAGCAGCAUUCCAUUAUCAAUGGAAGUGGUAUGUAUGUGAUCGGGCUCAAGCAGGUCCUGAAGGCGCAAGUAAGUUACAAGAGGAAGUGGCUCAAAUGCCCAUGGUCUCCACUCCUGCCACCCUGCCUUCUCUUCCCCAGCCUGCACCAAUGGCCUCAUGGGGAGUUAUCUAUGAUCAGUUGACAGAGGAAGAGAAGACUAGGGCCUGAUUCACAGAUGGUUCUUCAUGAUAUGCAGGCAUCACCCGAAAGUGGACAGCUCUAGCACUGCAGACCCUUUCUAGGACAUCUCUGAAGCAUAGACCUGAAGGGAAGUAUUCCCAGUGCACAGAACUUCAAGCAAUGCACCUGGUUGUGCAAUCUGCAUAGAAGGAGGAAUGGCCAGAUGUGCAAUUAUAUACUAAUUCACGGGCUGUAGCCAAUGGUUUGGCUGGAUGGUCUGGGACUUGGGAGAAGCAUGAUUGAAAAGUCGGUGACAAAGAAAUUUGGGAAGAGGUAUGUGGAUGGAACUCACUGAGUGGUCAAAAACUGUGAAGAUAUUUGUAUUCCAUGUGAGUGCACCAACAGGUGACCUCAGCAGAUGAGGAUUUUAAUGAUCAAGUGGAUAAGAUGACUCUUUCUGUGGACACCACCCAGCCUCUUUCCCCAGCCACCCCAUCAUCACCCAAUGGGCCCAUGAACAAAACGGCCAUGGUGGUAGGGACAGAGGUUAUGCAUGGGCUCAGCAACAUGGACUUCCACUCACCAAGGCUGAUUUGGCUAAGGCCACAGCUGGGUGCCCAAUUUGCCAGCAGCAGAGACCAAAACUGAGCCCUCUAUUUGGCACCAUUCUUCAGGGUAAUCAGCUAGCUCCCUGGUGGCAUGUUGAUUAUAUUGGACCUCUUCCAUCAUGGGAAGAGUAGAGGUUUGCCCUCACUGGAAUAGACACUCCGGAUAUGGAUUUGCCUAUCCUGCAUGCAAUGCUUCUGCCAGACUACCAUCUGUGGACUCACAGAAUGCCUUAUCCACCAUCGUGGUAUUCCACACAGCAUUGCCUCAGACCAAGGCACUUACUUUACAACUAAAGAAGUGUAGCAGUGGGCUCAUGCUUCUGGAAUUCACUGGUCUUACCGUGUUCCCCAUCAUCCUGAAGCAGCUGGAUUGAUAGAAUGGUAGAAUGGCCUUUUGAAGUCACAAUUACAAUGCCAACUAGGUGACUAUACUUUUCAUGACUGGGACAAAGUUCUCCACAAGGCUGUAUGUGCUCUGAAUCAGCAUCCGAUAUAUGGUACUGUUUCUCCUGUAGGCAGGAUUCAUGGCUCAAGGAAUCAAGGGGUGGAAGUGACACCACUCACCAUUACCCAUAGUGAUCCACUAGCAAAAUUUUUGCUUCCUGUUUCCAUGACAUUACGUUCUGCUGGCCCAGAGGUCUUCGUUCCAGAGGGAGGAAUGCUGCCACCAGGAUACACAACAACGAUUCCAUUAAACUGGAAAUGAAGAUCGCCACCUGGACACUUUGGGCUCCUCCUACUUUAAGUCAACAGGCUAAGAAGGGAGUUACAGUGUUGGCUGGGGUGAUUUACCCAGACUAUUAAGAGGAAAUCAGUCUAUUACUCCACAAUGGAGGUAAGGAAGAGUAUGCAUGGAAAACAGGAGAUCCAUUAGGGCGUCUCUUAGUAUUACCAUGCUCUGUGAUUAAGGUAAAUGGGAAACUACAACAGCCCAAUCCAGGCAAGACUACAAAUGACCAGACCCCACAGGAAUGAAGGUUUGGGUCACUCCACCAGGGAAAUUAAAAAAAAAUAAAAGGGCCUGCUGAGGUGCUUGCCAAAGGCAAAGGGAAUACAGAAUGGGUAGUAGAAGGUAGUCAUCAAUACCAGCCAUGACCACGUGACCAGCUGCAGAAAUGAGGACUGAAAUUGUCAUGAGUAUUUCCUCUUUCUUUUGUUGAAAACGUUUUUGUGCAUGUAUACACUUGUACUAAGAAAAUAUCUUCAUUUUAUUUCUUUUCUCAUUUAUCAUGUGACAAGAUUUAUUGACUUCAUAUCAGCAUUUAAGUAUUGUUAAUUUUAUGUAAUAGUAUUUGGAUUGGAGAUUGGUGCGUUUCCAGUUGUACAAAGGAUAGUUGUAUUAUUUUAGGCAUAAUUAUGACUGUAUUAUUGUCUUUAUUUGAAGAUUAUGCAUGAUCUCAAGAGAUGUGUAUGGGUUCAAGUUGACAAGGGGUGGACUUGCAAUGGUUAUUACUGUCAAUUUGAUUGGAUUGAAGGAUACAAAGUAUUGAUCCUGGGUGUGUCUGUGUGGGUGUUGCCAAAAGAGAUUAACAUUUGAGUCAGUGGGCUGGGAAAGGCAGACCCACCCUUAAUCUGGGUUGCCACAAUCUAAUCAGCUGCCAGCACAGCUAGAAUAUAUGCAGGCAGAAAAAUGUGAAAAGAGAGACUGGCCUAGCCUCCCAGCCUACAUCUUUCUCCUAUGCUGGAUGCUUCCUGCGUUCAAACAUCAGACUCCAACUCCUUCAGUUUUGGAACUCGGAUGGGCUUUCUUUGCUCCACAACCUGUAGAUGGCCUAUUGCGGAACCUUGUUAUUGUGUUGAGUCCAUGUCUUUGCUGCUGUGGAUAGUGCUGUGCUUCAUGGCAUUUUAUAACCAGAGGAACCCAGAAGUUGAAAGAGAACUGUUAUUAUUAUCCCACCUUAUUUUGAGGAUGAGGUCUGGUUUAGCAGAGAUACGGUUCCUAUAAAGUAGAGUGAAAAAGAAGAAAGGAUUUGGAAGCUGAAAGACAACAAGUUAAAAAUUGGUAUGC